CGUGCCUUCUUUUCCCUUGAUCUCCCAAAAUAAUACAUAGUGACCUGGUGCAGAAGAAGUAUCAACGUAGCUAGUGUACUCUGUCAAGAUGAAUCCGAGUGGAUCGAGAAGAGCCUUUGCUUCUGUCACAGCCUUGAAAAGGUCUGUUUCGCUUGUUUUUUCCUGAUCAACACUUAGGAUAACAUUUUUCCUCUCCACAAAUUGGAAUUGAGGUGCAUUAUUGUAGAAACCACUCACCAUAAGAACAUCUCCAACUUUAUAUCGAUAUAAUCCUGAAAGGAAUAUCAUCAAACUAGAUUAGAUCAUUAUCUAAGAGGUUAAUGUAGGAACUAGGAAGCAUAAUGCAAACUAGAACAUGGCAUUUGAUUAAUUGAUUAUAUUCAAAACAGGAACUUUUACCUGCACAAGUUGUGACAACUAGUUCAUAACACUGACCAGCCUUCACAUUUACAAGAUCAACAAGUUCAGUAUCUUCAUUGUUGCUCUUCAUUUCAAUAGAUCCAUCACCUUCAUUCUUUACUGGAAGGAAUUCGAAGUAAGCCAUGUUAGGGAGAAAUGUGUAGGAGAUAUCACAAGGUUUGCAUAGAGGUUCUAAGUUCAUCCCACAAAUAGCUUCCGAGCAAGCAUAUAAAUCUGAAACUAAAGGGAGCCCUCUGCAAUAGAACUCGAGUUCUGUAGUAUACUGUCUCAUAAUGCCAGUACAAAUGCAGCAAAUAUACCUUGCUUUAGGCCAUAACUUUCUGAUUAUUCCUUCCCAUGAUUUACAAUUACAUAUAGUUUCUAUCAGGUCAGCCUGUUCUGGAUUAGGCUUCAUGACCAAUGAUGCUGCAUUUCUGCAUCCUGAGUCGGUGAUCCAAUCGCUUAAUCGACCUGUUUUUAUGUCAUAGCAUAGCUCUUGCCAGUGAUUUUCUAGAAACUUGAUACCUCUUAGCACCGUAGAUGCAAAGACUGAACCAACCUUGACAACUUCGUCUCGUUGGAUUAAACCAAAAAGUAAUUGACAGUAUAAGCCCUGGUUGGGGUCUGGGCAAAAGAUGGUCUCAACGGGGCUUGUGUAAAGCUUAGGCAAAUUGGCUCUAAAAUUACACUCGUUGUAUAUGCUCGUUGAAACAGAUGCUGCCUUGAGGCCACUAGGAGUUUCAAUCUCUGGUCUGGCAAACAUAAGCUCCAGUCUUUUACCGGCUUGGUUGAUGUCACCAAAGUGCCUUUAAAAUUAGACGGAUAAAGGCAAAUAGUUAGUUUUAGGACUAAGUUGCCGUUGUAAAUGCAAAAAGCAAGAAAAGCAACUAUGUAUAUUAUAGCUAUAUAUGUACAAGUAGUAUUUACUAAAUACGGGUGUUACUAUCUGCGUGGUAUAUUAUACAUAUAUGCAUAUUAUAUGCAUUUGCUUAAUCUGGUAACUUUUAUACAUAUAUUCACAAGCAGCUGAAAGAAAAACUAGAAGAAAAUAGGGAUGGGUUCCUUACUUCAUCGCAGGAGACUCGUACAAGCCACGAAAUAAUUCCCACUUAUUAGCAACUUCAGCAGUGACAGGCAUCAGCUUUGGCUGCCCGCCUGAAGUCCCAGAGCUGCAUUUGAUCAAACAGAUGAUAGAACUAUUAGAAGGAACCAAACAGUACCCCGAAACACACAGAAACAAAGCAACAAAUUCAUGCAUGCCUUAGAAAGAACCCUGUAAUGGGUUCAGCUAAAAGGAUAUCUGAUGUCUCCCCAUUAGCAAUCCUAUCUAUGUAAGGCUUGAGAUCUUCAUAAGUAACUAUGGGAACAUUUUUCUUAAAGAGCUGCUUCUCGGUUUGACCAUGGAGGUAUCCCCUUAAAUACUCUGUUCCUGCAUUUCGACUUAGUAUUUCCCCCAAUACCUCGUCUUGAAUUUGCUCAGCAUUUGUGGUCAGUUCCGCAAUCAUCUUCAACCUACCUUCACACCCAUUCGUUGCCAUCAGCCCUAUUACUGAGAUCCAGACAGCUUUUUCUGUUUUCUUUUUGGGGAUGUUCUAGCUAUUGGCAAUGUAGUCUCUACGCUAAAUAGAAUAAGACUCAUGGGACUUGACCCCACACAUGUCGACACGCAUAAUACACAACGUGGCAUCAACGAAAUGGUUAAAACUAAGAAAGUUGAAUUUAAUGUAAUUGCGUACCAAUUUAUGCCUCUUCCAAUUUUCAAAAGCUAAUUAGACAUGUGUGUCUAAUAAAAUAAAAAUAUUUUAUUUUAUUUUUUUAUGAACAAUUUUCAAUUAAUUAAAAGAAUGAUAAAAUAAAAUACAAUAAAAACGCAACAAAGGGAGGAUAAUUAGUAAAUCAUAAAAAAUGUGUCUUUAUCUACAAUUUUUAUUUGAUAAAAUAUUUUGUGGCACAUAUUUGAUUUUUGUAAUAAAUUACGUGAAACGCUAACCCACCUUGAAAUAAAAAAAUUGGGACAAAUCCGAAUCUCCACAAACUUCUCGAAUAAAUAAAAUAAAAUUUUAUAUAGAGUAUUGUCCCUAUACUUUGUUUAAAAUUAUAUUUCAGUCACUCAACUUUCAAAAGUUAUAUAAUGGUCAUUAACAUUAUCAAAUUGUUACAUUUUUUUAUCACUCUUCCGUUAAAAAAGUAACGAUGCACCUUAAUGUAAAGGGUUAAUAGCUAAUUGGUCCAUGAACUAUUGUUAAAAAAUCAUUUUUAAAUUUUUAAAUUUUUCUUAAUAAUAAUAAUAAAUUAAUUAAUUAAAACACUAUAUAAAAUAUAAAAUUUAGAUAUUACAAUAAUUCAGACAAUCAUUGUCGCUUUUUAUUAAAAAGAAUUAAAUGAUGUAUGUGAAAAAUACUUUAUUAAUAUUUAAAUAAUAUAAUUAUUUUUAUAAGAUAAUGUUUGUAGUAGAAGUAUUUUUUUAAAAGAUUCAUAAAAGCAUGAUAUUAGAAAUUAAAAUGGAAAUUAAUGGUUCAAAAAAUGAAAAUUAAAUAAGAUAAAUUCCUUUUCCUAAGCAACAUAAAUUUUAUAGAGACUAAAAUAGUUAAUAUUAUUAACAUAUUUCUAAAAUUAUAUAAUGUUUUAAAUGGUGGGGACUAAAUGAGAAAAUUAAAAAGGCAAAAACCAUUGAUAGAAUAAAUUAAAAAUAUUAAGGAGUAUAUGUUGCAAAUAACCCUUCACGUUUCCCGUAUAUAAAAGGCAUUUAUUUCCUCUCUUAUUUUCAUGUUUAAUGGGAUGUCAUAGUGAUUAAAUGCUAAAGUUACAUAUUUUAUGUAAUUAAAUUGGUUAAUUUAUGAGAAUGCGUCACUAAUUUUGCCAUAUUUAUUGAAUUUUGUGCAAGAAUACAAUUUGGGGCUAAAUAAAAGAAAAAGGAAACAAUUGGGCUAGAUUGAAGAAAGAAGCAAAGAAGGAGGGCCAAAGCAGAAUUUUGCCAAGAAUAAUUAGCUGAAAUUGUUGACUUAGUGGGAGAUUAUUUUGGGAUAUUUUUUUAUAUCAUGGAAUAUUUUUCCUUGAUUUUCUAUACUAGUUGGCUCUUAAUUUAGUAAGGCCACUAGUAUAAAUAGAGGCUACAUUAUUCAUUUUAAUCACCAAUCAAUUCAUGAAUCAAGCUUUCAAUUAAGUCUUUCAUUAAGUGUUUUUCUUUCUUCAAGUAUUUUUCAUUUAGUUCUUUUAUCAAGUUUUUAAUUACCAAGUUUUGUAGCAAGUUCUUUUUAAGUUUUUCAUCAAGUUUUUUAAUAAAAUUUUCCAUCAAGUUUUUAAUCAUUUCGUUUUUAAAUUAAGCUUUUAUCUCUUGCAAUUCAAUCUUUUCUUUCUUUCUUUUUUUAUCAACAAUUAAUUUCCAACCUUGCGUCACCUUCACCACUCACUUUCAUUUUUUUCAUUUAUUCAAUCUUAUUUAAUUAUUCCAAUACCAACAUGUCCCAAACCUUAGCCAAUUAAACCCUUUUUCAGCUUUAGGCCGAAAUUAGCCUCGUUAAAACCCGUGAGUUACGAACCCGAGCCAUUUAACUCCUAAUAUUCCAGUACUUAUUACUUCUCCGGAUUAAGAGUAUGAUUUUGUCAACUCACAAAGUCAGAUCAACACUAAGUCAAAAAAGACGUCGUUUGAUUUAGUGUGAUUGGACGUACAGUUGGAAUUCUGAAAGGAACGUUUCUAAUCGGUUUUCUGUGAACACAUUGGCGUGCCAAGUGGAGAUUGCUGUUUGGUUCCGUCAAGGGAAGUAGUAACCGAAUUUAAAUGUCCCACGCGGUUAAGGGCAUUGGUUCGAGCUAGGCUCUUUUAGAACGCAAAGUUGCCGGAGUUCUAAAUCACGAACGUUUCGUGGUUGUUCGAUCGGUAAGGGUUAGUUAUUGGACGUUCCAUAACUAAUUUACACAAGGAAGAGUUGGUGUUCGAGGCGUCCUUGGUAGCUAUAACUAGCUUAUUGGAAAAGAGGAGUUCAUCUAAUUUCGAGGAUCGGUUCAAAGACGAGGAAAAUUCGUGCCUAAAGCUGAGCUUAUUCUAAUUAAUUUUUCUUAAUAUUUAUUUCACUAUUUUUAUUAUCAUGUUUUCAACUUUUACUUUUUACGUUAUUUUUCUGUUUAUUUCAGGUCAUCAAAUUUUAUCCCCCCGAAUUUCUUGGGCAUGACAGCUGCCCCGACAUAAAUCUGGUCAAGAGAGCAACAAUUUACAGUAAACCAAUCUCUGAGGGAUCGACCCUACUCCCUAUACUGCAUAAUUUGCAAAUUAAGGCGUAGGUUUAUAUUGGUGGAUUCGACACCCAUCAGUUUUGGCGCUGUUGUCGGGGACUGACAACACUCACAAUUGUUUAAAUUAUCUUCAUGACCAAAUCUUCAUCCGGAGAUCUCGAAUACGACCUAGAGAUCAAAAAAUCAGUACGAGCACGACGAAAAGAGACAGAAGCUCUUAAACGUGCAAGUAAAGCAGAAGUUGAGCUAGGACAAGGGCUCUUAGAAAUCGACAUUGAAAAAUUGAGAUAAGCAAUUCGUGCAUAGGCAAUUCGACGUGGGAAACAAGUCGAAGUGGUUGAUCCUGAGACCGAACCACUUCCUGAAACAAAAAAAGUAGAAGACAACCUCGGCGAACCAGAAAGGAUGGCGAACUGAACUAUUCGUCAACUAGCCGCUGCUUCCAACGAGCAAACACCAUUAUGCAUCAACUAUCCAGUCGGAGAAACCCCAUUCGAGUUAAAAUCAGGCCUGAUUCACCUUUUGCCCACUUUUCGAGGCUUGAAAAAUGAGAAUCCACAUACCCACUUGAGAGAAUUCCACAUGGUCUGCUCAAGCAUGAAACCACAGGGAGUAACCGAAGAUGAAAUUAAACUUCGGGCCUUUCCUUUUUCUUUAGUUGAUACAGCAAAAGAAUGGUUAUUUUACUUACCUCCAGGUUCUAUUACAACGUGGGAUGACUUAUCUCGUGUUUUUCUUGACAGAUUUUUCCCAGCAUCGCGAGCAGCUGAACUUAGGAGAGACAUAGUAGGAAUUCGCCAAAUGGAAAGUGAAUCGCUCUAUGACUAUUGGGAGCGGUACAAAAAACUGUGUGCAAGUUGUCCUCAACACGGUUUGACUGAGCAAUCACUUUUUCAGUAUUUCUACGAGGGUUUGCUCCCUAUGGAAAUGAAAAUGAUUGAUGCUGCUAGUGGAGGGGCGCUUGUCAAUAUGACUCCUCAAAGGGCAAGAGAACUGAUAUCCACCAUGGCGACAAAUUCUCAACAGUAUCGGCCAAAUUUAGAACCCACAAGACAGGUUAAUGGGGUAAACGUUUCAUCCUUAGAAGAUAAAUUGGAUAAGCUUACCAAUAUUGUUCAGUCUAUGCUUACAGAAAAGAAGAAUCAGACCCAACUGUGUGGAGUUUGUACUACAUCUGAACAUUCGACGGAUUUGUACCGAAUCCUUAACGAAAAUUCAACAGCACAUGUCGACGCUGUCGGAGGUUUUCCGGAACCUCUACAAAGACGCUAUGAUCCUUUCUCCAACACUUACAAUCCCGGGUGGAAGGAUAUCCCAACUUGAAUUAUGGAUCCAAUCCUCGAUAUAACCCAUCGUACCAACCAAGACCUCCGCAACCGCCACUCAAGCCGAGCACAUCUCUAGAAGCUGUUAUGGAAAGACUUGUCGUCGAUGUUGCGAAGUACCAACAGAGGACAGACGCAUCAAUACAGGAUUUAACUAAUCAAGUUAGUAAACUCUCGAUGAUGGUUAAUCGUUUGGAAUCUCAAGGUAAAUUACCUUCUCAGACGGAGCCGAAUCCUCGACAAAAUGCAAGUGCAAUAAUUCUUCGUAGUGGAAAAAUUCUGUAACCAGUUCCCGAAAAAAGUCAUGGGUAAGACAAGGAACGGGAAAAUCAUAUCUCUGAUCCAAAAGCCAAACCAGAAUUAGAAAUUCAGAAACCAAUUGUGAUGCCACCUCCUUUUCCAGGGAGACUCGCAAAGGAUAAGAAAGAGAAUAAGGAAAAAGAAAUCCUCGAAACGUUCAGGAAGGUGGAGGUAAAUAUCCCUUUGCUCGACGCUAUCAAGCAAAUCCCUCGUUAUGCGAAAUUUCUCAAGGAAUUGUGCACUAGAAAAAGGAGGUUAAUAGGUAACGAAAGAGUAAAUGUAGGAGAAAAUGUCUCCGCAGUACUGCAAAAGAAAGUUCCGCCUAAAUACAAGGACCAAGGUAUGUUUGCUAUUUCCUGUGAGAUAGGUAAUGUAGGCAUUAAGAAAGCCAUAUGUGAUUUAGGGGAUUCCAUUAAUGUUAUGUCUUAUCCUAUUUAUAAGUUAAUUAACGCGGGUCCUUUGAAAAAGAUAGGAGUAAUAAUCCAAUUGGCGGACAGGUCAGUCAUCUAUCCCGAAGGGUUGCUUGAAGACGUCCUUGUUAAAGUUAACGAAUUAGUUUUCCCUGCAGAUUUCUACAUUAUUAAUAUGGAGGACGAUAACUCCACUAAUUCGUCUGACAUUUUACUUGGAAGACCGUACCUAAGUACCGCAAGCGCAAAAAUUGAUAUUCAGAGUGGAACAUUGACAAUGGAGUUUGAUGGCGAAAUCGUGAAAUUCAAUGUCUACGAAGCCAUGAGUCAUCCUAACUCAUUAUCAAAUAUUUCCAGUAUCGAUAGUAUAGAUUGUUUAACUCAAAAUUAUUUUGAAUAUCAUGACUUUGAUGAGUUGGAAACUAUCCUUUUACAGAAGCAUUAACAUGGAUGUAUUGAGUCGUCUCAAGGAGUUAGCAGUUAUAGAAGAUCCGUUGCGAGAAAUUGUAAAACACUUGGAGACGCAACCAUCGUCGACGAGUCGAGGUAACCAACUUGAACUAUUACCUUCCCAAGUUAAAAUGUUGCCUUCGAUUUUGCAGCCACCAACUUGGAGCUUAAAGUGUUACCGGACCACCUUAAGUAUGUCUUUUUGGGAGAGAAAGACACCUUACCGUUAAUAGUGUCAAACAGACUAACCAAAGACGAGGAGGAAAGUCUAGUUCGAGUUCUGAAGGAUUAUAAGGAAGCUAUUGGUUGGACAAUAGCUGACAUAAAAGGGCUAAGUCCAUCCACUUGUAUGCAUAGAAUUUCCAUCGAAGAUAACACGAAACCAAAGAGAGAUGCUCAGAGGCGCCUUAAUCCACCCAUGACGGAGGUAGUAAAGAAAGAAAUCCAGAAAAUGUUGGAUGCUGGAAUGAUAUACCCGAUCUCUGACAGUGACUGGGUUAGCCCGGUUCAUGUCGUGCCCAAGAAAACUGGCGUGACAGUGGUGAAAAAUUCGUCAGGAGAGCUAGUUCCUACCCGAGUCCAGAAUGGAUGGAGGGUUUGCAUCGAUUACAGGAAGUUGAACGCAGCGACCCGAAAAGACCAUUUCCACUUCCUUUCAUCGAUCAAAUACUCGAGCGAUUAGCUGGUAAGACUCAUUAUUGUUGUCUCGAUGGAUAUUCAGGAUUUUCCCAAAUUCCGGUGGCGCCUGAGGAUCAAGACAAAACAACUUUCACGUGCCCCUUUGGAACGUUUGCGUAUAGACGAAUGCCGUUUGGACUCUGUAAUGCUCCGGCCACCUUCUAGAGAUGCAUGGUAAGCAUAUUCUCCAAUUACGUCGAGAAAAUCAUUGAAGUCUUCAUGGAUGACUUCACGGUGUACGGUAAAUCUUUUAAUGAAUGUCUCGAUAAUCUUGCUAAGAUAUUACAAAGAUGCCUAGAAUUUAAUCUUGUUUUAAAUUAUGAAAAAUGCCACUUUAUGGUUGACAAAGGAUUAAUUUUAGGUCAUAUAGUUUCCUCAGAAGGUAUUGAGGUCGAUAAAGCAAAAACGGAUAUUAUUAACUCAUUACCUUAUCCGACAUCUGUGAGGGAAAUUCGUUCGUUUCUUGGGCAUGCAAGAUUUUACAGACGAUUCAUAAAAGACUUCUCGAAGAUCGCGCAACCGCUUUGCAGUCUGUUAUAGAAGGAUAAAGAAUUUAAAUUUGACUAGACUUAUAAAGAUGCAUUUGCACUAGACUUAUAGUGCAACCACCAAAUUGGAACUUCCCGUUCGAAAUCAUGUGUGAUGCAAGUGAUCGAAGUGUGGGAGCUGUUCUUGGCCAAAGAAUAGGGAAAGAGCCUCAUGUUAUCUACUAUGCUUCGAAAACCUUGGAUGCUGCCCAAAGCAAUUAUACAACAACUGAGAAAGAAUUAUUAGCUGUUGUGUUUGCUUUAGAUAAAUUUAGAUCUUACCUAUUGGAAACUAAAGUGAUUAUUUUUUCUGAUCAUGUAGCAUUGAAAUAUUUGAUAGGGAAGAAGGAGGCAAAACCUCGACUGAUUAGGUGGAUUCUACUCCUGCAAGAAUUUGAUUUUGAAAUUCGGGAUAAGAAGGGAUGUGAAAGCUUAUUAGCUGACCAUAUUAGUCGAUUACCGAUUUCAGCAGAUGACACACCAUUGAAAGAUAACUUCCCAGAUGAAAACCUGUUUUCAGCAAAUGCGGUUCAUCCUUGGUACGCAGAUAUAGUAAACUAUCUUGUCACAGGUACUAUACCUUCAGAAUUACCAAGGUCUAAAAAAGAUAAGAUUAAAAAGGAUGCUCGAUAUUACAUUUGGGACGAUCCUUACCUAUGGAAGCAUUGCUCUGAUCAGGUAAUCCAACGGUGUGUAGCAGAAACAGAGGUACAGUCUAUCUUAACUUUUUGUCAUUCUUAUGCAUGUGGAGGACACUUUGGACCCAAACGCACCGCACAUAAAAUUCUCAAGUGUGGACUAUUUUGGCCAAACAUAUUUUGUGAUGCCUUCUUAUUCUGUAAAACCUGUGAAAGAUGCCAAAAAGUCGGUAACCUUAGUCGACGAAAUGAGAUGCCCCUUACUUCUAUCCAUAUUUAUGAAAUUUUCGAUGUGUGGAGCAUCGAUUUUAUGGGACCUUUUAUUUCUUCUUUUGGUAAUUUUUAUAUACUCUUAGCUAUUGAUUACGUUUCUAAGUGGAUAGAAGCAAAGGCUACUCGCAAUGAUAAUGCUAAGACUGUGGUUGACUUUCUUAAAAGUUCUAUCUUUUCCAGGUAUGGCACCCCACGAGCAUUAAUCAGCGACAGAUGAACUCAUUUCUGCAAUAAACUCGUAAGUGCACUUAUGGAAAAAUAUAAAGUGACUCAACGAAUUGCCACUGCCUACCAUCCAUAAACAAACGGACAAGCUGAAGUGUCAAAUCGAGAAAUCAAGUCCAUAUUGGAGAAGACUGUUAAACCUAACAGAAAGGAUUGGAGCUUGGGACUAAAUGACGCACUUUGGGCUUAUAGGACAGCUUACAAUGGACCAAUAGGCAUGUCACCUUAUCGACUUGUUUUUGAUAGACCGUGUCAUCUCCCGGUUGAAUUAGAGCAUAAAACAUUUUGGGCAGUUAAGCAGUGUAAUAUGGAGAUGGAGACCGCAGGAAGAGCUCGAAAGUUGGACAUUCAGGAACUCGAGGAAAUUAGAAAUGAUGCAUAUAAAAAUGCUCGAGUUUAUAAAGAAAAGACGAAGGCGUUCCACGAUAAGAUGAUCACUAGGAAGCAGUUUUCAAUAGGACAAAAAGUUCUCCUAUACGACUCCACCUUAAAAAUUUUCGCUGGUAAGCUUCGAUCCAAAUGGAUAGGUCCAUUUACUAUCACUAAUUUAUUCUCAAAUGGUGCAGUGGAAAUUCAAAGCGAAGAAACCCGGAAGUGCUGUAAGGUGAAUGGUCAACGAUUGAAACCCUUCUACGAGAAUUUUCAAACGCACACGAUUGAGGAGAUUGUUCUCGAGGAGCUCGAAAAUUGAAUAACAGGUCGUCGAGCUAACGACGUUAAACAUAGCGCUGUUGGGAGGCAACCCAAAUUUUCUUUUCCUUUAUGAAAAUAAAAUUUUUGGUAAAGUGGAAAAUGAAAAUGCAUAUCGAGGAUUAGUUCUGUCUAAGGAAAGACUUGGUACUUAAGUAUGUCCAUUGUGACUCACCUCUCUUUACUGGGAACUUACUUGGUGCAUUUAUCACGACUAUUUUACCAAAUAUCGUAAUUUUAAUUUCUUUCUUGAGUUUAUAGCUUAGUUAAUAAAUUUGAAAAAAAAUUCCUAUUAUUAUUAUUACUUAUUAUUACUGUUUUAUUUCAUUUUUAUUUUUAUUUUUGCAGGGAAACAUUCCAAGACAAAGUUAAAAUUCCACAUGUCAUCCCACAAAAUUCUUUUUAUUUUCAGCCAAGGCCCACUCAGCAUAUCCACUUUUUUUUAAAAAAAUUAAUCCAAGCUAGCCCAUUAACCCAAACCCAUCAUACCUACCCAAAACCAAAAAGAAAAAAAAAUCAAAAUUUAAACCCAAAUUUUCCCACCCCAAUCGUCCAACCCUUUUCCAAUAUAAAAAAAACCCUUACACCCAUCACAUCCUAGCCUUUCACCCAUCAAAUCAAACUUUUCACCUAAAAAAUAACCCCACUACCCCAUAUUGAACCCAAAAUCUUUCUACCCCAACCGUCCACUCCUUUCAAAUAAAAACAAAAACCCUUACACCCAUCAAAUCCUAAUCUUUCACCUAGCACAUCCUAGUUUUCUUUUCACCCUAAAAAAACCACACAAACACAUUACCCAUUAUUUGACCGGCUAAAGAAAGAAAAUUUUUUUUCAAACUCUUCCUUUCUUUUAUUUCCCUUCACCUUCAACACUGCUAUUUCUUUUUCUUUCUUUUACCAUCUUCAACACCACAACUCCAAACAGCCCUCCAAGAAAGCCAUGGUACGUACUCGCGACCGCGCAGUGCAAGAACCACCUUCCGUGGUAAAUCGACGUAAACACCAUUUUUUUCGCUCCAACCUUUGUCACCAUCGACUCCGACGAGUCUCCUCCAUCAUCACCGCCGCAACCACGCCACCCUAGAAGAAACCGUAGCCCAACUCCGAUCGCCGUAAUCUACUCGCCCCAUGAGCCGCCCGUUUCGACCGACCACCAUUCCAACAGCCCAGUCGAACCACCUAACUCGUCCGACAUCCAAGAUCGCCCCUCUCCCCAACCAAAUGUCCAUGCACGACAACCACCACAACCGAGACCUUCGAGAAGAACUCCGCGAUCCCUAAACGAUGGUGCUGAACCACAUUCAACGUAAAGACAAACCCGAGGCCGCCAACAGCCACCUUUGGUCGGUUCAUCAACUCCAACAGCGGGCGAUGCCGAAAAUUACGAAAAUGAAACGAAAAAUCAGGACACUGAGUAUCAUCCACGUGAGCGAGGUCAAUUUCGACAAGGAAGAGUAUUCAUGCCCCCGGAGAACAGAUUUCACGGGAAUCUAACAUUUACGAAUCCGGCACAUCAAGCGCAAUUCAAACAAAUUCAACAUCACCUUCUUCCAGUAUGUAAGCACGUCGACUCAUUCUCAUUAUAUUAUUUAGUUAUUGAAGAAUCUGUUAAUCAAUAUUUUGAUGCUAUUGGGUGGACUGAUUUUGCUGCUAUUGAUGAACCUGCAUAUUAUGAGUUGGUUUUUGAAUUUUAUUCUACAUUUUAUUUCAACCGUUCUGCCAACACCAUAGAUACGCCUCAUGCUCUCAAUUUUCGCUUGCUAGGUGUACAUUAUAAUCUGUUUCUUUCUGAGUUUAAUAUUGCUUUGGGAUUUGUUAUUGAGGACUAUUUAGCAACUAAUGACUAUUAUGACUCUUUUCUCGACAUACCACCUGACUUUGAUGCUAAUGAAGCUUUGGCAUUGUUAACUGAAAUGAGACAGAUUUCGUAUGAUCAGAAACGUUACAAAGACAUAGGAAUUCAUAGUCCUGCACUUCGAUAUAUACACUGAUUCCUUGCUUUCAAUUUUUCGGGACGUAAUGAUGUGUCUGCUUCUUUAACUAGAACUAAAUUAUUUUUUCUAUGGUGCAUGCGUUCGGGAAAAAAGGUAAAUUUAGGAUAUUGGUUUGCUAUACAGUUUCAGCAUGUUUUGCGAUCGAAUCGGCCACUUAUUUUGGGUACUUACAUCACACAUUUAGCCUCUAAUUUGAAUCCAUCAGCUGUCAAUUUUAGUUCUUUGAAUUUGGCAUACAAAACGGACUCUUUAGAUACAUACUGUUUGGAUUCCAUGGUGUUACUUGCCGGUACCCCUUCUUCUUUUUAUUUUGUUCCUCCAGGUACAAGAACAGAUCGGUCGCAUAGAGUAUUCAGACGAAGACACCAGCACGGACCAGAGCCUCCAAAUUUUGUCGAAUCUUGAUUAACCCGAAUCGAAGAAGGACUCGACUCUUUACGUACCUUAGUGACAGACGUUCUCACACAUCUACGAGACCAUCCUCCACGACGUUGAAAUAUAUGGGAAGUUUAUUUUUCUUCUUUUGUCUACUUAAUUUUACCUUAUAUCCUUUAAUAUUACAUUGGGACAAUGUAAAAUAAGUAGGGGGAGGGAAACAUAAAUUGGUUCUAAUUUCCUUAUCUAUCAUCGCUAUUUUUGCAUGUUUUUGGUAAAAGGUAAAUUUUUCUUUUAAUUGGGAUGAUACACUUAUGGUUUGACCGAUUUAGCUAUUUAAUUCUUUACACAUGAAACUUUUCAAUAACCUAGACUUAGUGGGUAAGAAAUUUUUGGGAAUUAUGAGUUUGCUUGAUUGCCUACCUUUUAUCAUAUGUUUUUAUUAUUUUGUCAAAAAAAAAAGAAAAAAAAAGAAAGAAAAGAUUGAAUUACAAGAGAUAAAAGCUUAAUUUAAAAACGAAAUGAUUAAAAACUUGAUGGAAAAUUUUAUUAAAAAACUUGAUGAAAAACUUAAAAAGAACUUGCUACAAAACUUGAUAGAAAACUUGGUAAUUAAAAACUUGAUAAAAGAACUAAAUGAAAAAUACUUGAAGAAAGAAAAACACUUAAUGAAAGACUUAAUUGAAAGCUUGAUUCAUGAAUUGAUUGGUGAUUAAAAUGAAUAAUGUAGCCUCUAUUUAUACUAGUGGCCUUGCUAAAUUAAGAGCCAACUAGUAUAGAAAAUCAAGGAAAAAUAUUCCAUGAUAUAAAAAAAUAUCCCAAAAUAAUCUCCCACUAAGUCAACAAUUUCAGCUAAUUAUUCUUGGCAAAAUUUUGCUUUGGCCCUCCUUCUUUGCUUCUUUCUUCAAUCUAGCCCAAUUGUUUCCUUUUUCUUCUAUUUAGCCUCAAAUUACAUUCCUGCACAAAAUUCAAUAAAUAUGGCAAAAUUAGUGGUGCAUUCUCAUAAAUUAACCAAUUUAAUUACAUAAAAUAUGUAACUUUAGCAUUUAAUCACAUAGGCUGUUGUAUCAAAGCCCGUGAUGAAAUGCACGCAGGUUGUCCCAUGAAGAUCAAUUAAUUAAAUGAAACUUAUUUGACCCACUUGAAUUAGCCAAAUUCGUGGAACACAUGAAGAAGUUCAUAUACUUAAAGUCUUGGUGGUCUAAUGAAACACUCUAGUAAAACUAGAGUUACAGGGGUAAUUAUUGUAAAUCCUAAGGGAUAAAGAUGUAUGAGUUUAAAUCUCUUAGGACUCUCAUCUUGUAGAUAAGCACUAAUCUCAAUCGUCGAUGUAAUUUAAUCUGUAUUGCUGGAUCUGGGGAAGCUCAACUAUAAAUAGAGGUUUUUCCCCUCAUUUGUAAUCACUUCAUCCCUUGUACAAUAUUCUUGAGCUAAAGAAUAUUUUUUAGAGCAUUUACUCAAACGCUUGGUGUGCUAUUAUUUUCUCAUUGCUUUUUUGUUCGACUCAAGUCCCUUCGCCUUUUCAAGUUGCUUUCGCUUUAUUUCGGUGCCUUAGAGAAUUUCUGGAAGAAUUUUCACUUUUUCAAGAGUAAGGCUGACUUAGAUAGAUUUGAACAAAAAAAUCGCCUAAGGCGACGUAGUUUGCCAAACUAAAGUUUUAGUCUCGUGACAAAAUAAAGUAGUUGAAAAAUAAAAAAGAAAACUUAAGUUUCCUUGUUUUUUUCCCUUGCUUCAUUUUGUUGUCUUUUAGACAAGAUUUUAAUCAUAUGCUAGAAAAUUCAAAAUUUUCUAGUUUUCAAUAUAAAAAAAAUAUCAUAGCUCCUUGGUAAUUAUGUACUUUCUAAUAGAGGUUUAUUCAAAAUACACACACCAGGUAUUUUGUCACGAACCAUCUUGGCUAAAGCAUUUGCAACCUUGUUUACUUCCCUAGGAAUAUGUUGAAUGUGCCAAUGAUGCACUUGUAUCAAGAGCUGUUGAAUUCUCCUAAUCAAAGUUUGCAACAAAUCUUCAAACUCAUGGCCACAUAACUUACAGGAACUAUCACUACCCAUACCCCUUCUUACAUUUUCCACAUUCGUGAGUAAUCGUUGCUUAAAAACCAACCAAAUGAAGGUCCGAACUCGUUGUGGUCCUUGAAACUUCCAAAGGAGUUUCCAAACGGCCUCUUUCAAAUUCCAUGUAUCCUCUCUUAGUUUUCCAUAUACGGUUUUCAAAGAGAAAUAACCUGUUGCAAAACACCCCUAAGUGAUUCUAUCAGGUCUUGCAGUAAGGUGUGGUGGUGGUACUCUUACAAUAUUUGCAAUAAUGUCAUCAAAACAAUAAAGACAAAAGAAUCCAAGGUUCCAAUAACCAUCAUCUGCGACCAUCCCGCUGAGGGGACAAUUCAUUUCCAGAUUCGUAGCAGAAGUGAUAUUUUUCCAAAGCCCAAAUCUUUGGGAUCCAAGGAUCCUUCCAACAAUUAAUAUCUUUCCAUUCUCGAUUGACCACAGCAAGUUUUCACGUAUUAAGGGCCAUACCUUGUCAAGAGCACACCAAAGAAAAGAGACUUGCCCUCUCGAAAGGGACUCUAGCAAACUAUCUUUCACAUUAUACUUCGAUCUAAGAACAUGAACCCAUAGAGCAUUAAAGUUUGUCACAAUUUUAUAACUAAUCUUCAUCAUGAAUGAAGUGUUGCGAUCUCUCAAGAAUCUCAACCCAAGUUCACCAUGCACUUUAGGUUGACAAAUCGAAUCCCAAUUAACCAAAACUGAUUUUUGAGUCUCGUUAUAAGGCCCCAUAUGAAUUUCCUGACCAUCUGCUCAAUUUUGUCACACAAGCCCUUGGGAAUCAUCAUGGAUUGUGUUAAGUAUGACUCAUAUUUUCAGUCAAAUUUAAAAAAUAAUCUUCUAGUUAAACUCUGUUUAUUUGUUUCAAUCAAACACUGAUUAAUUUAGAUUAUAUUAUUAUUUGACAUAUGAAUUUAGCCUAUAAAUAGGCUCUUUUACAACCUUAGAAAUAAUACACCAUUUAGAGAUUAGAACUCAUAACACAUUUAGAGAAUUUUGUGUUUCCGUUUUGAGAGUUUUUUAUUUUCGAGUUUGGAGUUUAAUUUUAUCUUCAUCUUUUGUACUCUUCAUUCUUUUGCCAUUAUAAUAAAAUUAUUUUUGCCCGUGGUUUUUUAUCUUCUUUGGAGGGAUUUUUUCACGUUAAAUUUGUGUGUUCAAUUUCUCAAUUUAUUUCGCUAUUUUUGUUAAUUGUUGCUUAAUCAGGUCGAUCCCUAACAAGUGGUAUCAGAGCUAGUUCAAUUUUUAUAGAUCAGCCCAUUCAGAUAUGACAGUAACAAGAUUUGAAAUUGAGAAGUUCAACGGUGAAACAAAUUUCAAUCUGGUUUAAAAAAGGUUGUUACUAGGAAAAAGCCUGAGAAUCUAAAUAAAACAGAAUGGGAAGAGCUUGAAGAAAAGACCUUGUCUGCAAUCCAGUUGUGCCUCGUGAAUAUGAUAUUGCAGGAGGUAUUGAUGGAGAAGACCUCAUCCGCCUUGUGAAAAAGGUUAGAAACUCUUUAUGCGACUAAAUCUCUGGCUAAUCGUUUAGUGUUGAAAUAACGUAUAUUUACAUUUCGCAUGAACGGAUGUGAGCUCCUUAGAGAUUAUAUCAAUCAAUUUAUUACUCUUUUAAAUGAUUUAAAGAACGUUGAGGUUCAUAUUGAUGAUGAAGAUCAAGCUAUGCUAUUUUUAUGCUCUUUACCCCUUUUAUACAAGUCUUUCAGGGAAGACUCUGAUUUAUGGCAGAGACAAACUUUCGUUCGAAGAUGUGAAGGGCCAUUUGUUGAGUAGAGACAAACUUGACAAUGAGCUUCAUUUGGAUAGCAAAGCAGAUAGGCAAGCUUCUGUUUUGAUGGCAUCAAAGAAACGAGACAAAGGGUGUCACUAUUGUAAAAAGUUAGGUCACGUCAAAGCAGGUUGUUAUAAACUACAAAAUAAAAGAGCUGCUGAGAGUAACGAGGAAGAUGUAGCUGGUGCUAAUUUGAUCGAUGAAAGCGGUGAUGAUUUCUUAUUAGUGUCAAUGAGCGAUAACUCCAAGUUUAUGUCCGAGUGGAUCCUAGAUUCGGGAUGCUCUUUCCACAUGUGUCUCAAUAGAGAAUGGUUCUCCACAUAUAGUUCAGUUGAAGGUGGAUUUGUGCGCAUGGGAAACGAUUCAUCUAGUAAUGUAAUUGGUAUUGGUACUGUUAAAAUUAGGAUACACGAUGGGACGAUUAGGACACUCUCAGAUGUCAGGUAUGUACCUGAUUUACGAAAGAAUCUCAUCUCCUUGAGUAUUUUAGACUUGAAAGGAUGCAGAAUCAACAUCGAGUCAAGCGACAUUAAAGUAUCUCGUGGAGCUCUCGUUUGGUUAAAAGGUAAAAGAACUGGCAGUCUUUAUAUUCUAGAAGGUUCUACAGUGACCAGUGAAAUUGGACGUCCCUCGUCCAUUAUAGAGUCGAAGUCAACUCGUUUGGAGCGGAGGCAACUUGGUCAUAGAAGGGAAAAAUGUAUGACCGUUUCGUUGAGGAGAGGUUCUCUUUUGGAUGCAGGUUUUGAAAAGUUAGGGCACUGUGUUCGUGAAAAUCAGACCCAGGUUAGUUUUGAUUUGGCAGUGUACAAGUCAAAAGCUAAGUCUUCCAGUUUCUAAGCACAGAUUCAACUCAGUUAAUUCCCUGCAUAGUUCAAGAUAGGCUCGUGGCGGGCUUUGGCAAAGAUAGCGUUGUAGAAAUAUGAGUCAAAGUGGAGAUUUGUUAAGUAUGACUUCUAUUUUCAGUUAAAUUUGAAAAAUAAUCUUCUAGUUAAACUCUAUUUAUUUGUUUGAAUCAAACACUAAUUAGUUUAGAUUAUUUUAUUAUUAUUUGACAUAUGAAUUUAGCCUAUAAAUAGGCUCUUUUACAACCUUAGAAAUAACACCCCAUUUAGAGAUUAGAACUCAUAACAUAUUUAGAGAAUUUUGUGUUUACGUUUUGAGGGUUCUUUGUUUUCGGGUUUGGGGUUUAGUUUUAUCUCCAUCUUUUGUACUCUUUGUUCUUUUGCCAUUAUAGUAAAAUUAUCUUUGCUCGUGGUUUUUUAUCUUCUUUGGAAGGAUUUUUUCACGUUAAAUUUGUGUCUUCAAUUUCUCAAUUUAUUCCGCUAUUUUUGUUACUUGUUGUUUAAUCGGGUUGAUCCCUAACAGAUUGUAUGAAAUUACUUGGGAUUGCUGGAAGCACCGACUAAGCUAAGGUAACUCUUCCAGAUAGAGAAAGUUUUCGAGCAUCCCAACUUGAAAGCUUAUUACGCACCCUAUCAACAAUGAAACGAAGGGUAGUGUUGGUUACCUUGUCACGGAAUAGGGGCACUCUUAGAUAACAUCCCAAAUUUUGCACCUUAGAUCAUCAUCCACACCUAGCGAGAAGAAAAUAUUAGUUUUUUGUAGAUUAAUUUUAUGGCCCGAGAGGUUACAAAAGGUAUCAAGGACUCCUUUGAUGACCUUUGCCUGAGUCUUAUCCGCUUGACCAAACAAAAUCAAAUCAUCUACAAAAAAGAGAUGUGACAAGGUCCAUUACAUUGUAUCUAAGUUGUUUCUUUAGAAUCAGAAAUUUUGAGAUAGUCAAUCUUAUUUAAGAUUUCUAUUGUAAGAAUAAUUAUUGAUAAGAUUAAAAUUUGUGAAUCAAAUUGGGUCCAUUUGUGACUCCCCAUACCUAAAUUCAGAGAUCGGGUCGGAUGAAGGUGUUACAAUAUUAGUUUUAAUUUUUUUAGUUUUAUGAACAUACGAAUUUAUAUUUAAUUUUUUAAAUCAUUUUAAUGUAAUAUAUCCAAACUAAUGAAUGAAACAUUUAUGUCAUUAAAUAUUCUUAAAAAUUUUUAAUUGGAACACUUCAAUUUAAAAAAUAUAUAUUUUCAUAUAUUUUAAUUAAUACAUUCGAUCAGGUAAAAUAGUUAGUAUCAAUACAAAAAAAAAAGCAUAUGUGGAAAUAUUAAAUUUUAGGCUAAUUCUUUGAGUUUCAAAAUGCUUUCUUUUUUUAGUUAUAUUUAAAGUGAAACUUAACUUUAGAAUGAGCUAGUUUUCUAUCUCGUACGAUGCACAGAUUAGAUUAUAUGUAUCAAAUUUAAAAUUUUAUAUUAAUUAGUUAAAUAAAUUAUAACAUUUCAGGAAUGCUAUGAUUGAGAAAGUAAAAUAAAUAAUAUAAAUGUUUAAUUUUGGAAUUAAGAUAAUAUGUAUCAUGAUAGAUAUAAAUUAAGAACAAAAUAAGUUGAAUGUUUAAAAUAAAUUUAAAUAAUUUAUUGAUAUUCAUUAAAAUGAUCGAAAAUUUAGCAUUUUAAAAAAUGAAAUUAUGAUGUCAAUAUUUUAUAUAGUCAAUAUCUACUCUAAAUAGUUGUUUGAAAAUAUUGUUAUUAGUCUAAUUUUAGAAAAUAAAUAAUAAUUAAUUAACAUAUGCAAUAUCUUGAAAAUGUGUGUUUACUUUAGUUAAAAUAAUAUUGUAUCAUUUAUUACAAUACCAGCAAAACAAUAAUUGUAUAAUAUCAAAUCCAGAUCAUUCAUGGGGCAGUGAAUACCUUGAUCAUUAAGUCAACACAUGGGGUUAUUAAGUAAAUGUAGUAUAAUAAUAAAAUAGAAUUUCAAAAAAGGGAGCGCCUCAACUGUACGUGGGACAUAUUCACCUCUUGAUGGGUAGUCGUACGUCCUACGUACGGUUGAAGCACUUUCCUCCAUGAACUGUACACCGCUCUCUGUAGAGAGGGACAAGACCUUCCCAAGAAGAUUAUACAUUUUAUUGAGGGAUUGAAUCGACAUCUUUGAGAAUGACACUACGAAAACUUCUCUCGAAAAAAUAGAUCUUUAUAUUUUUGAGAGAAUGUUUGUAUUCAUUCAUACGUAGGGUGGCCUAUUUACAAAGACGGAUAGACAAGGCCUUUUGAAGGGAGCGGGUAAUUCGUUCACAACAGUGAACAACUUAUUGGCUAUAACCCUAUGAAAAGAUUGGAGGGUUGAAUGAAGGCAUGCCUUCUAAGAUGUGGGUCAUUCUCAAGUCAUUCCCAAGUAAUAGAAAAUAGAGAAUUGCCUUCUCAAGUGAUUCGCUAUGCUGACUCGUGUACAAAGCUAGAGAGGUAUAAUAAACUUAAUUUAAAAAAACUAUGAUCCACUUUAAAUAUAAUUAAAAAAGGAAGUAUUCUAUAAUUGAAAGAAUUGAGUUCAAUUUUUAGAAUUAAAUUUUAUUAAUUAAUAAAUACAAUAAAAUAAAUAUUAUUUUAACUUACAUUUUUUAAAAGAAAGCGAAUAUAUUAUUUCCCCUCAUUUUAGUUAAGAAUAAAAUAAGAGUGUAAUCUUUAGUAAAAAUAGAAUUUUCUUGUACAUUUAUUUCAUUUUUAAUAAUUUAAAAUAUUAAAAUAGUAAAAUAUGUAAAUUUAUAUUAUUAUAAUUAAAUUUAAAUAAAAAUAUUUUAAAAAUUAUUUAAAUGAAAUUUAGUUCAGGCGAACAAAAAAUUUAAUUAAUACAUAUUUAAUAUAUUUUCACUUUUAAUUUUUUUUAUAUUUACUUUAAUUAAGUCAAGCAAAUUUAUUAAUGAAUGAAAUGAAUAUAACAUCACAAUUGUUUAUUUAAAUUAUAAUUUCUUUAUCUAUUUCACGGUGCAAUAUUACUUUUGAAUUUUUUUUUUCCACUUUUAUGAACAUAUAAUUCUAUAUUUAAAUUUUAAGUAAUUUCAAUAUAAUAUAUCCAAAUUAAUGAAUGAAAAAUUUAUGUUAUUAAAUAUUUUUUAUAAAAUUUUAUGAAAAAUGAGGUAAAAAAGCUAGUAUCAAUACGAAAAGAAAAAAAAGUGAAAGCAUAUAUGGAAAUAUUAAGUUUUAGGUUAGUUGUUUGAGUUUCCAAAUGCUUUCCUUUUUCGUUAUAUUUUAAGUGAGACUCGAUUUUCGAAUUAAACUAGUUUUUUAUCCCAUGCGAUGCACGGAUUAGAUUGUAUGUAUCAAAUUUGAAAUUUAAAAUUUAUUAGUUAAAAAUUUUAUAAUUUUUCAGUAAUAUUAUGAUUGCGAAAGUAAAAUAAAUAAUAUAAAUGUUUAAUUUUUAAUUUUUAAUAUUAAGAUGGUAUAUAUUAUAAUAGAUAUAAAUUAAGAAAAAAUAAGUUGAUUAAAAUAAAUUUAAAUUAAUUAUUGAUAUUCAUUAAAAUAUCGGAAAUCUAGAAUUCUAAAAAAUGAACUUAUGAUGUCACUGCUUUAUAUAUUCAAUAUCUCACUACAACAUAACAACAUUAAUAUAAUACUUUUAAGCUGGCACUUUUUUAAAUGUUGGGAUAGACUUGUCGACAUACGCUUUGGCUAACUCUUUGUAUAAGGGUUAGGAUAUGCAUGCCUAAGGCAACGUUUAAAUAAAAGUCAACUUUACCCGACACAAUACUGACUUUUGUUAUACCUUUCCCAAAUAUAUAAAAAUGUCGCCAUAUGAAAAUCCUAAGACCACUCCUUUUGAAGUAUGUCGACCUUUUUUGUGUUGGUUAAAUUUAUACCUUUAAUAGGUGUUGGUUGUUCAAAGCAUUAGGCCAUAUGAAAAGCCCUUAAAUUUGUACCAACCUUAUAGAGAGCAUCAGCCACUACAUUAAGAAAUAUCCCAAAUAUGUUCUUCCAUGCAUACAUAUCAACUUUCCCACAAUGUAUCAAACGAUUCAUAAGAAAAUUACAUGAGAAUACGUGUGCAAGUGUAACAAUUGCUUGCCUUUGAGUUCGAAACAAGAUAUUAAUAACUUUACCAAACAUUAAUGUAUGCCUACACAAUAAAGUGAAAAGGAUUAUUCUCCGGAGUUUUUAUACAUAGGAAGGAUUAGGUAAUCUUAAACAAGAACUGAUGCAAACUAAUUAUAACGGUGAUUUGGGGCUGAAAUACUUGCCUAUCACUCUCGAAUCUAAUAUCUUCAAGGCUUCCUCAGAUUUAAUGCAACUAGGUUUUUUGUAUUGGCUCAAUGAAGUUCCUUUGGACACAUAGUAAUCCAUUAGUGCCUCAAAACUUCCUUGCUUUACCACCCUAAUCUCCAAAGCUGCAAUUAUGUUCCUUUUCCUAUAGAUUUUAUAUGUAUAAUGCAAUGACUCUUCCAUUCUAGAGCAACACUCUACCAUUAUCUUUGGGUCGAGUUCUUUGCAAUGCUUGCCUUCUUUUCCCUUGAUCUCCCAAAAUAAGACAUAGUGACCUGGUGCUGAAGAAGUAUCAACAUAGCUAGUGUACUCUGUCAAGAUGAAUCCAAGUGGAUCGAGAAGAGCCUUUGCUUCUGUCACAGCCUUGGAAAGGUCUGUUUCGCUUGUUUUUUCCUGAUCAACACUUAGGAUAACAUUUUUCCUCUCCACAAAUUGGAAUUGAGGUGCAUUAUUGUAGAAACCACUCACCAUAAGAACAUCUCCAACUUUAUAUCGAU
rnacentral:lncRNA from 1 species